rnacentral:lncRNA from 1 species
CAUCUUUGCGGACCCUCCCAUUUUCUUAAGCCCCUAAUGUAUUUGGGAUAUGGGGAAUCUGGGCUGAGUGUUGUUUGGUUUGCACAUCUGCCCGUGCUCUGUGUCAUGUCUGCCCUCUGCCUCUCUCCAGGCAUCAUGGCGAUCCUGUUUUCUGGCAUCGUGAUGUCACACUACACACAUCAUAACCUCUCCCCAGUCACUCAGAUCCUCAUGCAGCAGACCCUCCGGACUGUGGCCUUCCUGUGUGCAGCAGCUGGAGAGCUUCCCCCACAUCUUUCCCUGACCCCACUCCUGUUCAUACC